CGACAGGCGACGGCCGACGAUUGCGCGAAGAGAGAGACUAGAGAGCGACGGAGGAAUGAGUCAAGGAGCAGAAGAGAGGAUUACCGUACAUACAAGAGUCUUCCAGUUCUUACGUAAGCUUUUUCUUACCAGUCAAGUAGUACAACAGCUGUAUCUUAUCUUAUAGCCCGGCGUGGCGGGUCGCCUUUUGAAUUCCGUAGAUAGAAGAAAUAGAAGGAGUAGGUGAGUGAGGGAGUCCUCACUGACCUGAGCGAUUUCGAUCGGGAAGAGAGUGGAGGUUGGACGGUGAAAGUGCCGCUGGAAGUUGUGGAUGGAUGGAGGCACAGGCGGUAUGGAAUCUGGAAAAGAGGGACAGCUCGGCGCGGCGGGUCGCCUUUUGAAUUCCAUAGAUAGAAGAAAUAGAAGGAGUAGAUGAGUGAGUGAGUCCUCACUGACCUGAGCGAUUUCGAUCGGGAAGAGAGUGGAGGUUGGAUGGUGAAAGCGCCGCUGGAAGUGGUGGAUGGAUGGAGGCACAGGCGGCGUGGAAUCUGGAGAAGGGGGACAGCGUGACUUUGUGUGGGAUGUGGCAGACGAGAACGAGAGGAGAUGAAUUUUAGAUCUAGGGCAAAUAAAGGAACUAUUGAAAACGACGUAGUAUUGCUGAUUUCGGUUCGGUUCGGUUUAAUCGAAAUUUUUG
rnacentral:lncRNA from 1 species